GGAUGUGAGGGUGAUCUGGCUAUAACAUCUGUCAUCCCAUUGAUCUCCAGUGUUGACUCAGCUGAUUUGGCUGGCUAGGCAGGUGUCCCCUUCCUCCCUCACCAUUCUGUGUGCAUUCCUCCUGAAACUGAGUGCUCAAAGAGGAUAACUGCCCCCACUAGAGAAGGACUAUUCUUUGGUCAAGUAGCUAUGCUCUCCUGCUAUAACCUCCAAACAAGUUCUCAAGAAAAAAGAAGCAAAAUCAUAUAUGUAUAAUGACCCCACUAUUAUAUAUGCAUAAGAGAAAAUGUAUUAAAU
rnacentral:snRNA from 1 species